CGGGACGGGUGAGUAACGCGUGGAUAACCUGCCUCACACUGGGGGAUAACGGUUAGAAAUGACUGCUAAUACCGCAUGAGCGCACAGUACCGCAUGGUACGGUGUGAAAAACUCCGGUGGUGUGAGAUGGAUCCGCGUCUGAUUAGCCAGUUGGCGGGGUAACGGCCCACCAAAGCGACGAUCAGUAGCCGACCUGAGAGGGUGACCGGCCACAUUGGGACUGAGACACGGCCCAA
rnacentral:rRNA from 1 species